rnacentral:rRNA from 1 species
UGGUGGAGCGAUUUGUCUGGUCAAUUCCGAUAACGAACGAGACUCUAGCCUACUAAAUAGUUCGGGGACCCCCACAAAGGGGCCCCGCUUCAACUUCUUAGAGGGAAAGGUGGCGUUUAGCCACACGAGAUUGAGCAAUAACA